rnacentral:lncRNA from 1 species
CUCAUUUUCGCCGGAAAGCAGCUCGAGGAUGGCCGCACCCUUGCUGACUACAAUAUCCAGAAGGAGUCCACUUUGCAUUUGGUGCUCCGCCUUCGAGGAGGUAUUAUUGAGCCUUCGUUGAUGGCUCUGGCUCGCAAGUACAAUCAGGAGAAGAUGAUAUGUCGGAAGUUAGUGCCCUCUUCUCUCUAUCUUUUUAUUUUGUGAAAUGGCUUCUAACUGCAUCUUGGAGCUUUUCUGCCCUAUGCACCCAAGCUUGGAGUGAGUGAUUUUCGUGGUGAUUGGGUAAUGGAAGCUUGUUAUACAUUCAGACUUGAAAGUUCUGGCUGCACUUUUAAACAUUGUCCGGAGUGUGAGUUGCCAUGUCGGAAGUUUUUGCUUAUUAUUGUUGAAUAUGAGGUUGAACGGUGGCUAUAUCACGGGACUUACUGUAGAGUAGCGACCUAGGUUUUCUUUGGUAGCUUACAGGCCCUGCAUGAUUUACGUCUAGCCUCGAGUUGAAACUCGUGUCUACCCGAUUGUUCAGGCCUAAGGCUGAUGUGCUCCCUCAAGGAUUUUUUUUCAUGGUAACGAGGCGUUUGAUGACAUUGCAUAUCUAACUGGUCUUACCGCAUGUGAAGGUGCUAUGCCCGCCUACACCCCCGAGCCGUCAAUUGCAGAAAGAAGAAGUGUGGACAUAGCAACCAGCUCCGCCCUAAGAAGAAGAUCAAGUAGAGUGGCGGCCUUCUGUAUUGGUGCAGUGUGUGCAAUGCAAGCUCAGGAAAUGUGAUAGAUCUUCACUGGUCUUUGAGCAGGUUUAAGCUACACGGAGACCAAUAUAGCUUGUUUACUGCCUUUGUAAUGCGUCAC